CUCCUGCUCUGGUCCGCCUCGGCCUGGUGGCGGCCAUCAGCCUCUUGGCCUCGGCUCAAGGGCCGGGGAGCUGCGCGCGUCGCUCGGUCUGACCGACACCACCCUCCCCUCCGUGCCGGACCGCACCCUGUGGCCCGCACCCCGUUGUCCACCCCGGGCACUCCUCGGCCAAGGGGCCCAGUCCACGCUCGCCCGCCAGCCUGGCGCUGCCCCGGCCCUCCUGGCUCGAGUCAGGCCGCCGGCGCCGCCGCUGCUGCUAUGCACUGCCUCGGGAACAGUAAGGCCGAGGACCAGCGCAACGAGGAUCAGGCGCAGCGCGAGGCCAACAAAAAGAUUGAGAAGCAGCUGCAGAAGGACAAGCAGGUCUACCGGGCCACGCACCGCCUGCUGCUGCUGGGUGCUGGAGAAUCUGGUAAAAGCACCACUGUGAAGCAGAUGAGGAUCCUGCAUGUUAAUGGGUUUAAUGGAGAUGAGAAGGCAACCAAAGUGCAGGACAUCAAAAACAACCUGAAAGAGGCUAUUGAAACCAUUGUGGCCACCAUGAGCAACCUGGUGCCCCCUGUGGAGCUGGCCAACCCUGAGAACCAGUUCAGAGUGGACUACAUUCUGAGGGUGAUGAACGUGCCUGACUUCGACUUCCCUCCCGAAUUCUACGAGCAUGCCAAGGCUCUGUGGGAGGAUGAAGGAGCGUGCCUGCUACCAACACUCCAACGAGUACCAGCUGACUGACUGCGCCCAGUACUUCCUGGACAAGAUCGAUGUGAUCAAGCAGGCCGACUAUGUGCCGAGCGACCAGGACCUGCUUCGCUGCGGCAUCCUGACUUCUGGAAUCUUUGAGACCAAGUUCCAGGUGAACAAAGUCAACUUCCACAUGUUUGACGUGGGUGGCCGGCAUGAUGAACGCCGCAAGUGGAUCCAGUGCUUCAAUGAUGUGACUGCCAUCAUCUUCGUGGUGGCCAGCAGCAGCUACAACAGGGUCAUCCAGGAGGUCAACCAGACCAACCGCCUGCAGGAGGCUCCGAACCUCUUCGAGAGCAUCUGGAACAACAGGUGGCUGCGUACCAUCUCUGUGAUUCUGUUCCUCAACAAGCAAGAUCUGCUCGCUGAGAAAGUCCUUGCUGGGAAAUUGAAGAUUGAGGACUAUUUUCCAGAAUUUGCUCGCUACACUACUCCUGAGGAUGCU